CCCGCCCCAGCCCGGCCCGGCCCCGCCCCUAGGUGUUCAUGGGAGCGGGCCCCGCCCAGCUCUCCGCACCAACGGUAACGUUGAGGGGCGAUGAUUCGGCGCUCGCCGCAGGAGCUGCGCACUUCCGAGCGUGCACGCUGAAGGAAAGGCUCGAGUCCGCCCAGCUGGAUCGACGAUUCGGUGCUCGCCCUGGUUCCGCGCACGCGUUCUGGAUGCAAGCCUUAGGCUAGAGCACAAGGCUUCUGCCUAUGACGGUGGGAAUCCACGGGAAAUCACGUGGACAGCCUUUGCUGCUGCGUAGGGGGCGAUGGCCUGUGGCUGCUUUGGGGCGUCAGCUCCUCGCCCAGUUUUGGCCGCUCAUCGCUCUCUGACGCUGUGGGGAUGCUGAGUGGGAGAGGAGGGCCCGGCAUCCAUGACCUCACACUGGGCCCUGCUAGAUCUAGGGCAUCCCAGGCUCCAUCCGUCUCUGCAGCGUUACCACCAGUAUUGCUAAACCUGAGCAUUAACAUCCCUGUGUCUGCCCCCACCUGCCAGCCCUGCGUCCACCCCCCGCAAAAAAAAAAAAAAAAGAAUUGGCAGGAAGGCACUUGGCAACUUCUGUCCAGGCCAGGUACAAUCCAGUAGUUACAAUCCAGCCAUAAGCAGAAUGAGCUGAUAAAGAACAGCAAAAUUGACUAGUUUUUAAAAAAUCUAAUUAUAAAAUUAGUGGCUAGAACAUGUCUUGACUCAUCUUCAGCAAUGCAUCUGAUAGCGUCUCAUGAAAUCUUCCUCCAGAACGUCAGGGCUUGCCACAGCAAAACACUUGUUGACUUCUUUGGGGAAAAGACUGGACUGAAUAGUAGCAGUGUCAGAUCAAUUGUAAACUCCAAAGUACCAUCAAAUGGACGACAUUCUCAGCUUGGACAGUGGCUAAAGGGGUUGCUCCAGAAUUCUUGCCUAUUCCCGUUGAUUUUUAUUAUUAUAUUGCAAAGAAGCUGGCCUGUCCAUAGCAUCCCUGAAAAUUCAUCCGUCUGCAUUUUCUGCAUAUUUUUACCUGUCUGCUGUUUUUUCCCCGCUCUACAGUUUCAUACAGCUUUAAAGAUUUUACCCAUGCUUUUCCCCUUAUAAGCCUACUCCUGCUUGGGACUUGAAUUUGCUGCUAACAAAGUUUAUGGAGCCAUCCUUUGAGCUUCCUGUGGAUUGCUCUUUGGAUUACCUGUCUCACACAACUUUCCUUAUAGUUAUCAUUGCUGCCAGGAGCAUCAGUGAGUUGCAAGCUCUGAUGGUGGUGUUACCCUAAGAGCCAAGUGUUCUUACAUGCUGUCAUAAACAUAAAGGGAAGGGUAAACACCUUUAAAUCCCUCCUGGCCAGAGGAAAAACCCUUGCACCUGUAAAGGGUUAAGAAACUAGGAUAAUCUCGCUGGCACCUGACCAAAAUGACCAAUGUGGAGACAAGAUACUUUCAAAGCUGGAGCGGGGGAGAAACAAAGGCUCUCUCGGUCUGUGUGUUGCUUUUCCCAGAGCAGGAAUGCAGGAAGUUAUCUACAACCUGGGACUGUUGACAGCAGGAGCAGCAUGUUUUCCCUAGGAGACUGGCCAGGCUGACUUUCUGUUUAUAAAGAGACACAGCUUUUAUUGGUCUUGCAGCAAGCAAAAGAGACAGGGUGAUGCCCAGAGGCCUCAGUGAGAGUCAGGACCUGACUGUGCUAGAGGCACAACACACAGGAAGGCAUGGUUCCUGCUCCAAAGAGAUUACAAUCUAAUUUAAGACAAGUUGCAACCAAUGAGUGUGAUAAAUAAUGGGAGGACUGGAGGAGAGAAAAGAAGGUUAACAGUCAUAAGCUAAGGCUGGUACAUAGGCUUGCUGUGUGCUCAACUUGAAGGUUCGAAAUCAUUUGAGUGGUGGUGGUGGUGGUGGUUUUUAAAUAAAUAAAUAAAAUCAGCUGUCCACAACUGCUGCUCAACCUAGUCAUCAGUAGCUGUCUGAAUUCUUGUAGGCAUCAUGGCUGUAUUACCUAUUUUACAACUCUGGGCUGCAUAAUAGUUUUUCUGGAGCUUGCUUCUCAGCAUCAAAAGCCCCUAUUAAGGGUGUCCCCAGAGCUGCAACAGGCAGGAAAAGCCCUGGUAAUGUGGCUCCUUUGGGAGCCCUGCUAAGGAGCGCCAGGGGCCCCAGAGCUAGUGCAAAGGCACAAGUACUCCAUGCAGACAGAAUCCAUAGGAGGUAAUUGCUUUCUGCAAAUCUCACUCAAUCUGUUAGGUUCAGGGGACAGAACAACUGCUUAUCCUGGAGAUGGGUUGGGGGUAGCGUUGCUUCCCUUGUGGAAUGGAGGAAACUCCACCAGGAGAGCCUUGUGGAGUUUUCUUCUCCACAGGGCCUCUCCCCUGGGUAUUUCCACUAGUGGUAUGAAUGGUGAUACAAGCCCUUUACACAUGUAGCAAGCUUAUACCUAUUUUGCUGUUGACUAUUCCCCAUAGUCUCUGAGCAUUCCUGCUCGUGUCCCUCUCCCAUUGACGAGCUAGGUUUUAGAUUUGUUUUCCCCAAAUAUAUUAGUUGGCAUUUCUUCAGGUUGAAUUUCAAGUGUACGUGAAGCGUUAAACCUUCUAGCUAUUGAAUCCUUUCUGAUCUGUUUUUAUUGUUUCCCUGUUGACCGAACAGCAAAGAAUGUACAUACAUGCUACUCUGUGUGCCACAGUUGGAAAGACUGGAGUAAAAGAAGAACUGAAUAAAACAGCGGGGUUGUGUGCUAGAGGCAGGCAUUGGGGUAAUGUGAAGCUAAAGUGCUCUGCUGGAGCACAGGCCAGAUAAAUGCUUUGUUUAUUUACAUAUUUGGGUCAGUUGUGCUUUUCUUUGUGCAGUUGGGAUUUCUUGUCUCAACUAAGGAGCAGCACUGCGGAGAACAAGAGAAAACUCUUCAGUGCGGAGUCUCCUGUCCCAGCAUGGACUGCAAGUGAAGAAUUUUGAGAACAAGGUGGCAGAAUUUUUCUGUAGAAGUAGCUUUACAGAAUGUUGCAAAAA